rnacentral:rRNA from 1 species
GGCGAGUGAACCGGGAAGAGCUCAAAUUUGAAAUCUGGCGUGCUCAGUGCGUCCGAGUUGUAAUCUAUAGAGUCGUUUUCCGUGCCGGACUGUGUCCAAGUCCCUUGGAACAGGGUAUCAAAGAGGGUGAUAAUCCCGUACUUGACACAAUGACCGGUGCUCUGUGAUACGUCUUCUACGAGUCGAGUUGUUUGGGAAUGCAGCUCAAAAUGGGUGGUGAGUUCCAUCUAAAGCUAAAUAUUGGCGAGAGACCGAUAGCGAACAAGUACCGUGAGGGAAAGAUGAAAAGCACUUUGGAAAGAGAGUUAAACAGUACGUGAAAUUGUUAAAAGGGAAACGAUUGAAGUCAGUCGUGACUGAGAGGCUCAGCCGGUUCUGCCGGUGUAUUCCCCUCAGUCGGGUCAACAUCAGUUUUGUUCGGUGGAUAAGGGCAGUUGGAAGGUGGCACCCUCGGGUGUGUUAUAGCCAGCUGUCGCAUACAUCGGAUGAGACUGAGGAAUGCAGCUCGCCUUUAUGGCCGGGGUUCGCCCACGUUCGAGCUUAGGAUGUUGACAUAAUGGCUUUAA